GAUCAUGACUCAGGAUGAACGCUAGCUACAGGCUUAACACAUGCAAGUCGAGGGGCAGCAUUCCAGUUUGCUUGCAAACUGGAGAUGGCGACCGGCGCACGGGUGAGUAACACGUAUCCAACCUGCCGAUAACUCGGGGAUAGCCUUUCGAAAGAAAGAUUAAUACCCGAUGGCAUAAUAGAACCGCAUGGUUUGAUUAUUAAAGAAUUUCGGUUAUCGAUGGGGAUGCGUUCCAUUAAG
rnacentral:rRNA from 1 species